UACCUAUAUUUUUUUUUCUGAAUUAUUGAAGAAUGGAUCCUUUCAAAUAGUUAUAAAUUUGCAUAGAAAGAAAAUAAAAUCGACGAAAACGUUCUUCGCCAAUUGUAUGCGCUUACAUAUUUGGUCGGAAUGCUUGGUUUUCAUUGCUUUCCAUCUUCGUAAUUGAUUAGGCUUUCCAACUGUUUUGAUUCGUGCGCCACGGAUGAGUCGUAGGUAGACGAAACGCGCGCGAGUACUAAAUUAUAACCUGGUGUCUCUGAACCAAGUGGUGUUCAUAUAAAAAUCAUUAUCAUACAUUUUUUUAUUUUUUUUAACGGGUCAUGAUAUUUGUAAGGCACGAUAAUUUGUCUGUGCGGUUUGUACAAAUACGCAUUUGCGACUGGUCUGAUAUGGGAGGCUGACUGCAAGGCACUUGUUUUGAGAAUAUCAAUCUCUCUACUGAAAACACCAGGGUAUGAUGAAUUUAUUACAAUGUAGAUUGAAAAAGAGUAUGAUGAAUUCAUUACAACAGUUGUUUAGAAGAAGUUUUAAGACGGGUGAAUGUACAAUCAAAAGUGUUCACCAUUUAUGGAACCACACAGUUUUACAUGGCUUACUUUACAUCUCAGCUGAUUGUCAAUACUGUCGUCAAUGGAAACGCGUUAAAUAAAUUCACGUUACAGUAGUUGGGUCACGUCAUAGAUAUUUAUAAAAUUUUGCAUGCAGCUGCGGAAAAUGAAAUGAACUGAAAAUUCGAAAAAAUGCCUUUACCUAUAUUU